rnacentral:rRNA from 1 species
GAUGAACGCUAGCGGCAGGCUUAAUACAUGCAAGUCGAGGGGCAGCGCGGGUAGCAAUACCUGGCGGCGACCGGCAAACGGGUGCGGAACACGUACAGAACCUUCCUUUAAGCGGGGGAUAGCCCAUAGAAAUGUGGAUUAAUACCCCAUAGCAAUAUUUGAUGGCAUCAUUAGAUAUUUAAAGAUUUAUCACUUAAAGAUGGCUGUGCGGCUGAUUAGGAGUUGGUGCGGGUAACGGCCCACCAAGCCAUCGAUCAGUAACUGGUGUGAGAGCACGACCAGUCACACGGGCACUGAGACACGGGCCCGACUCCUACGGGAGGCAGCAGUAAGGAAUAUUGGUCAAUGGACGCAAGUCUGAACCAGCCAUGCCGCGUGAAGGAUGAAGGCCCUCUGGGUUGUAAACUUCUUUUAUUGGGAAGAAAUGCUAUUUUUUCUAAAGUGCUUGACGGUACCAGAUGAAUAAGCACCGGCUAACUCCGUGCCAGCCGCC